rnacentral:rRNA from 1 species
ACGCUUCGGGUUGUAAACCUCUUUAGCAGGGAAGAAGCGAAAGUGACGGUACCUGCAGAAAAAGCGCCGGCUAACUACGUGCCAGCAGCCGCGGUAAUACGUAGGGCGCAAGCGUUAUCCGGAAUUAUUGGGCGUAAAGAGCUCGUAGGCGGUUUGUCGCGUCUGCUGUGAAAUCCGGAGGCUCAACCUCCGGCCUGCAGUGGGUACGGGCAGACUAGAGUGCGGUAGGGGAGAUUGGAAUUCCUGGUGUAGCGGUGGAAUGCGCAGAUAUCAGGAGGAACACCGAUGGCGAAGGCAGAUCUCUGGGCCGUAACUGACGCUGAGGAGCGAAAGGGUGGGGAGCAAACAGGCUUAGAUACCCUGGUAGUCCACCCCGUAAACGUUGGGAACUAGUUGUGGGGUCCAUUCCACGGAUUCCGUGACGCAGCUAACGCAUUAAGUUCCCCGCCUGGGGAGUACGGCCGCAAGGCUAAAACUCAAAGGAAUUGACGGGGACCCGCACAAGCGGCGGAGCAUGCGGAUUAAUUCGAUGCAACGCGAAGAACCUUACCAAGGCUUGACAUAUACGAGAACGGGCCAGAAAUGGUCAACUCUUUGGACACUCGUAAACAGGUGGUGCAUGGUUGUCGUCAGCUCGUGUCGUGAGAUGUUGGGUUAAGUCCCGCAACGAGCGCAACCCUCGUUCUAUGUUGCCAGCACGUAAUGGUGGGAACUCAUGGGAUACUGCCGGGGUCAACUCGGAGGAAGGUGGGGAUGACGUCAAAUCAUCAUGCCCCUUAUGUCUUGGGCUUCACGCAUGCUACAAUGGCCGGUACAAAGGGCUGCAAUACCGCGAGGUGGAGCGAAUCCCAAAAAGCCGGUCCCAGUUCGGAUUGAGGUCUGCAACUCGACCUCAUGAAGUCGGAGUCGCUAGUAAUCGCAGAUCAGCAACGCUGCGGUGAAUACGUUCCCGGGUCUUGUACACACCGCCCGUCAAGUCAUGAAAGUCGGUAACACCUGAAGCCGGUGGCCUAACCCUUGUGGAGGGAGCCGUCGAAGGUGGGAUCGGUAAUUAGGACCUAAG